AAAAACGUUUAGUUUUAGUUCUUGGCACUACUAAGGGGUUUUGUACCCGCAGGUCAUAAGUUGUAGAUUCAUGUUUUUUUCCCGUGGCAGGUGUUUCAGCUUGCUAUCGGGACUUUCAUUUAUGUUCUAGAAUAGUUUGUUAGUGAGGGCUUCAUGAUGAUCGUCAAUGGAUUGGAUGUUAGCUAACUCCAGGGCGGUAAAGUACGGAACACCUGGAAUGAUACACCUCAACGCUCUUUUCUGGAUGCGCUCUACAUCCUCUCUUAGAUAUAUUGGAAGGGCAUAAUGGAAGGGCGUAAUCCAAUGUUGAGCGUAUGCAUGCACAAUAAUAUUGCACUAUUUCAGCGGUAUCUACCCUGGACCGUUUAAGCUGAAUCAAAAAAUAAAAUUUUUGAAAGGCACUCUUGACUAAAUAUUCAACACGAUUGUUCCCUGCACGUAAGAUUCGUGUUGAGCAUUAGUCAGGGCCUUUUUUAAGGAUUUUCCCGUUGGGGGGGGGGGCAUUUUUUGAAAAGGGACCUUUCUGUGAGAUAAUAUAUUAGAGGGGGAUAGCAAUGGCUGAAAGCCACGUGUGUGGCAAAUAUACCACGCAUGAAUGGGGGGUCUGGGGGUGUACUCCCCAGAAAAUUUUUGAAAUUUGACUCCCGG